GACGUGACUUCAGAGUUUGAUCCUGGCUCAGGACGAACGCUGGCGGCAUGCCUAACACAUGCAAGUCGAACGGAUUUUUUAAAGGAAGUUCCUUCGGGAAUGGAAUUUAAAAAGUUAGUGGCGGACGGGUGAGUAACGCGUGGAUAACCUGCCCAUAGGUUGGGGACAACUCCGGGAAACCGGAGCUAAUACCGAAUAACAUUUAUUGAACGCAUGUUUAAUAAAUCAAAGAAGGCCUCUCGAAGAAGCUUUUGCCAAUGGAUGGAUCCGCGUCUGAUUAGCUAGUUGGUAAGGUAACGGCUUACCAAGGCGACGAUCAGUAGCCGGCCUGAGAGGGUGAACGGCCACACUGGGACUGAGACACGGCCCAG
rnacentral:rRNA from 1 species